UUUAAAGGUUUCUGAGACUUG
ensembl:piRNA 21ur-8822 ncRNA